AAGGAUCAUUCAAAAUAAAAGUGAAUUUUCUAAAUAUGGCACUUUUAAAAAAAAAUCCAUAUCCACCUUGUGUGCAAUGUAUUUUAUGGAAGGAGGGGGGAGAUCUCUCUCUCUCUUUUUAUAUUUCUAUUUUCUUCAACACUCUUUAUUACUUUGAAACCUGUUUGUCUGAAACAAAAAGAUUAUUCUUUUGAAUAAAAAAACUUAAUUCAAAAAAAUAUAACUUUCAACAACGGAUCUCUUGGCUCUC
rnacentral:misc_RNA from 1 species